rnacentral:lncRNA from 1 species
GGUUAAGGAAAUCUUUUUGUAAUUACUCCAUACAAAUAGAAGCAGUAACAUGAAAGCAUCUUCAUAGCUUGGAUUGAAACCAGUCCUAAUCUUAGACUAGAAAGGAUUUAAACAUCCACCCCUCAAGAAAAUGUGAAGCGGGGUCUCAUAACUGGAGAUAAACUGUCUACAGGAAGUGAAUUACUUAAUGAGUUGGUCGAACAACAUAUUUAUCAAAGUAUACCUGAAGCCCACCACAAGAAACUGGAAGAAGUAAAUUAUCUGUUCCAUCAUACAAUCUCAAGGUGACUCCUUUCUUCAUAGCUUAACAGUAACUCUAAUUUAAAUGGGAAAUUCUUAAAUGAGCCUGAAUUCAUGAAGAAAACUUAUAAAUAAUGUAAUGAGCUCAUUAUAUAUAAUAUAAAGCAUAUUCAGGUUUCAUUUUUUCUUUCCAGAUGUGUGAUUCUCUGUCAUCUUGUGAGUCUAGUUACCCCAGAACAUGGCCUCUUCUGCAUAGAGAGCAUGAGUGGACUGAGAGGAAGCAACACACCCUUGUAAUUGCAGGCAAAAUCAGCAUCCCACCAGUGCGUUAGUAAGAGGAAGAGAAGAGUGAGAAGCUAGAUGAAGCACUUCUUGAGAAUAACUGAAACCGCAGUUAACAGAAUUGAAUAAGUUUGAUCUGGGUUUUCAGGCUGCCUGAAUUGAGCAAAAUACACUGCAGACAUGAUGCUACGAUUUGAACUCCUAACCACUGUUCACCUUCAUGUCAGGUAGGGGAUGGAUAUUCAAAGAAUAGGUUGCUUCCUGCAUAUGUAGUACAAAUCAUCAUACCUCAAUAUACUAUAAAUGAAAGUGGUAGAAGUGGCUGUAUCAGCAUUUUGGGGACAAAAACUGCAUCAUAAGAAGAUUGUAUUUACAAAAUGAGAUACUUUUAUUAGAUCAAGAGUUGUGACACCAUAGCUCUCCCUGAACAGAUCCCUUCAUAAAACUCUAAAAAACACAAAGUUGAUUUAGGCGUCCAAACACUACUUUGGGUACUUCUAUCACAAAAAACUUAAAGAUGCCAUAAAUAGACAUAGUACUCCAACAGUCUACAUCUCCUCACAAAUUGUUUUUUUAUAGAAAAGCUGAAGUUUCCUCACACAUGCUUCAUAUUGUUGACUUAUUUUCCUGGAAGUUUAAACACUGAAAUUUAAGCAGCUGAACUUCUUAACUGUCUUGCUAGAGUGGACACAGGCACGUGAAGGUAAAAGUUAGGCUUCCCAGGAUAAGACCUCUGUAUCUGUUUAGUUUUAUCUUUAUUUUGCAAGCUGUUUCCACUACAAUGAGUCUAAACACUAAAAAAAACUAUUUUCAUCUGUUUAUAUUUUCAUCAUUUAAUUUAAACAAGAUAUUAUGAUGUCUUUAGAUACAAAGUAAACACUUGCCGCUCUGACACUGCAAAAUGUGAUGCUGU